rnacentral:lncRNA from 1 species
CCUGCAGUUACUUGCAACAUAGGGAGAGAUGAAAAUAAUGUGAAUAUUUGAAGACUACAUUUCAUGUAAAAAUGGAGCUAGUGAGCUAAAUGAAGAGUGAUUUUUCUUGUCCCAUUCAUAGGUAAAAGACAAAAUAAAAAAAAAUAAAGAAAAUAAGAGUUUCUGGUUAAGAAGAACUUCCCACCAAGAAAAUCUGGAUAAAAGCACUCUUGUGGGAUGUGAACUCCUAACCCAC